GACGAACGCUGGCGGCGUGCUUAACACAUGCAAGUCGAACGGUAAGGCCCUUCGGGGUACACGAGUGGCGAACGGGUGAGUAACACGUGGGUGAUCUGCCCUGCACUUCGGGAUAAGCCUGGGAAACUGGGUCUAAUACCGGAUAGGACCACUGCCUGCAUGGGUGGUGGUGGAAAGCUUUUGCGGUGUGGGAUGGGCCCGCGGCCUAUCAGCUUGUUGGUGGGGUGAUGGCCUACCAAGGCGACGACGGGUAGCCGGCCUGAGAGGGUGACCGGCCAGGCUGGGACUGAGGUACGGCCCAGACACCUACGGGAGGCAGCAGUGGGGAGUAUUGCACAAUGGGCGCAAGCCUGUUGCAGCGACGCCGCGUGAGGGAUGGCGGCCUGCGGGUUGUAAACCUCUUUCAGCACCGACGGAGCGCAAGUGACGGUAGGUGCAGAAGAAGGACCGGCCAACUACGUGCCAGCCGCCGCCGUAA
rnacentral:rRNA from 1 species